ACAUCAGCCUUUCCCAGCGUGUGCCUUGUAGAAACUAGUUCUGCAGGAUGUUUGUGAAUAGUCAAAGCAAAGGUAGGAAUUCACUGAUCAAACAGGACAAAGAGAGGCAUUCAAGAUGGAAGAAAUAAUAUGUGUGAAAGUACAGAGAUAUGAAAAAGCUCUUCAUUCAUCUAUUCAACAAAUAUUUAUUGAAAACCUAUUAUGUGCCAGGUGACGACUAUUGGAGUUUCAGUGAUCACCAUCAAACUUUGGAGUGACUGAGACCCCCAAAAAGUGUGCACGGAGUAAAACAAGAAAGAUAAGGCUCAAACCAACACUGAGGGAGCAAGCAGAUGAAAUUAUAUUUGCAAAGAGGACAGAGAAGGCAACUUUAAAUUAUUAGUAAUGGUGAAAAGACUUCAACCUCAUGGCUCUUAAGACUCAUGAAGAGAACUAACUGCCAGAUUCAUUAGCAAAUACCGAGAUUGGGUUCCUAGAACAUUCCAGGGGACCUCACUCAACUCUCAAAACAUGGGAUGGACCUAUGUUUGCCAAAAAUUCAGAGUCAUCAUUCUGAAUUCAUUCAUUCUGAAGUCAUCAGAAUGGCCUUCACAAAUAACCUCAGAAGUUAAUUAUUAUUUGGAAACCAAUAUAACUGUUAUAACUCCCAGAAUUCCAGUCAGUUCAGAGCUAUAGUUAUACCCUAACAUCUGACAAAGUGUCUGGCACAUAGUAGGCCCUCAUUAAUUUCCUGAUGAAUGAAUGUCACAUACAAGUGAGCGGGAAAUGUAAAUAAGAAAUUUGAGGACAGCUCAUAAUCAAAUACUGAAGAUCCAAAAUGAAGUAAUGCUUCAACUUGUAAUAUCAUUGCAUUGUUUAUCAAGUUUUGAACAAAAUACAACUAGUCAUAUUUUCAUUGCCGGGGUAAAUAAGUCUGUUGCCCCAUAAAGAACUAACUUGUCUUCAAGCUCAUAUUCUACCAAUUCAUGAGAUUCAGAUUAGUAUAGUUUAAUUUAAACUGCUACAUAUAAUCAAUUGAGCUCAAAAUUCUUUCACAACCCACUUUUCCAGACCUGAGAACAUAUUUCAGACUUGAAGAUUGACUGUCAUCAUUUCUUCCUCUACCCAAACUAAUAAGCCAAUCCUUUCCAUAGUAACAGAAAAAAGGAAUGGGAAGGAGUAAAAUAGUCCAUAAAAGUUAGCACAAUUAGAUAGAUAUGUAGACACAAAUACAACUGGCAGUAGGAUGAUUAGUAUAAAUUUCAAUACCACAACUUUUGGAGGAAUGGCACAACUUUAUUGCAGCCUUACCACUUGUGAACGAUGUAGUCACUGCUGGUCUGUGGCAGUGAAUGCGCUUCAUAGCACCCAAACACCAUCAAAGGUUCUUUAUUUACCUUACAUCUGCCAAUAACCCAUGUUCUCGAAUUUUCUGUGUAAAAGAGCUCCAUGUGGGUCAGAUUUAAUUUCUUGCAGAAAUACGAUAUGUCACUUCCAAUAAAAGCAACAAGGAAAGAGAGAUUCACACACUAACUUAUCAAGGAUGGCAGUUCAUGCUGGUGUUUGGAAUAGUUUGGAGGUAUUGUUUUGUUUACUGAGCCAUCAAGUUCAAAGGAAGGUGCACAAGCCUGAUUAGAAUGGCCUUCCCAGAACUGUUUUCCAAAUAGAAAACAUAUGCCCCUGUGGGGAAAGCUCUUCAUUCCCAGAUCCAAGUGAUUAUGAAAACAGCUUGACUCUGGGGAAAGAGAAUCUAGAAUAAUAUCUUUCUUUAACAUAGUACUGUCCCGAGGAAAGUCUAGGGCAAACUUCUGAUGGCUAAAGUAAAAGGCACACCAAGAGUGACUACAGGCUUUUACUUAAUGUAGAUAGACACCAAGAGGAGACUUAGACACUGUUAUGUUCAAUCCUCUGUAGAUUCCUCCAGCACAGGUUAAUGGACACCUCAGAAGAUCACCUGAUUAGACCUGAAACCACAUAGCAAACCCAUGGCCAAGUUAGAGCCCUUGUGCUGGUCUCUCUCUCUCUCUUUUUUUUUUUUUUUAAGUGUAUUGAUUUACAAUGUUGUUAGUUUCAGGUGUACAGCAAAGUGAUUCAAAUAUAUUUACAAUUCUUUUUUUUUCAGAUUGUUUUCCAUUAUAGGUUAUUGCAAGAUGGUGAAUAUGGUUCCCUGUGCUAUAUAGCAGGUCCUUCUUUGUCUAUUUUAUAUUUAGCAGUGUGUAUCUGUUAAUCCUACACCCCUAAUUUGUCCCUCCCCAUCCUUCUCUUUUGGUAACCAAAAGAUUAUAUUCUAUGUCUGUGAGUCUGUUUCUGUUUAUAAAUAUGUUUAUUUGUAUCAUUUUUUAGGUUCCACAAAUCAAUGAUAUCAUAUUUGUCCUUCUCUGUCUGACUUAUUUCACUUAGUAUGAUAAUCUCUAGUCCAUCUAAAUUGCUAUAAAUGAUAUUAUUCAUUCUUUUUUAUGGCUGAGUAAUAUUGCAUUUUAUGGCUGAGUAAUAUAUAUAUAUAUAUAUAAUCAUAUAUAUAUCACAGAUUAUUUAUCAAUUUAUCUGUUGAUGAGGUUGCUUCUAUAUCUUGGCUAUCGUAAAUAGUGCUGCUAUGAACUUUGGGGUUCAUGGAUCUUUUCUAACUAGAAUUUUUGUGUUUUCUGGGUAUAUGACCCAGAGUAAGAUUGCUGGAUCAUAUGGUAACUCUAUUUUUUAGUUUUUUUAAGGAACUUCCAUACUGUUCUCCAUAAUGGCUGCUGGUCUCUUGAUUUAUAAUUCAGCCUUCAGUAUUAUAUCAUGCUAGCAUCAGAAUACAUUUUAAAAACUUCAUUUAGAUAAAAAAUUAGGGGAAAAUUAACACUUGAUAUGAUGAUAGGGCUGAAAAGAUAUAGAGAUAAGUCAUUUAAUACAGAGGAAAUCCUACAUAUAGGUUAAAUUAACAUUUUUUCUUUUCUUCAUAUCAGAUUCCAGUACCAGUAAGAUGAACUCUCUCUUAUUUUGCAGUAAAACAUUUUCAUUCUUUUCCAUUUAAACAUGUGGGAAGUAGUAUUCAAAAUUAACUGAAUUAUUUUAUUCUGGCUAAAUGCAUUGUCAUCUUAUAUAAAUAUGUAUUGUAAAAAGCCAAACAAAUACAAAUAAAGUAAUUAUGGUAAAAUAGCUAUUCAAUGAGCUCUUUUCUAUAUGUAAUCAACUUACAUAAAUGUAAUAAAGUUACUUUUGUCUAUAAAAUGUGACUUUUUUGAAUGAGAAACAAUGAUCUGAAGUUGUCUAAAUGCUCCAGUUCUGAAAGGAAUGAGCUGUCCAUAGCAGUUUUAGACAUCUGAAAAGCAAGUCCAUUGUUUAUACCCCAUUCUUCUGUGGUAUGUACAUUCUGAUUCAAUUUCAUUUAAAAGGCUGCACCCCUAAAUUGUAACAGUAUUAUUAUGUGUAUAUAAAUCCACAGAAAAAAAUGUUGGAGUAUUCUGUCAAUUAUUAACAGAAGUUAUCACUGGUAUUUUUGUUAAAUAUUUUUGUAACGCUUUAAUUGUUGGCAAUGAACAUUAAGUAUUACAUUUGUGCUUGGAAAAAAUAAAUAAACAUGCAUUUACAACCC
rnacentral:lncRNA from 1 species